UUGGGUAACGGUGCUAACCUCUGUGCUGCCCUGGUAAGAGGAGAACCACUGAGGGAACGCCUUCCGCCCACCGACGCCUCCACCGUGACCUCCACUUCUGAGAGGAAUUGCCUACAGAUCAAGUACGGAGUGUGCCUGAAUGGACAUACAGAACUCCAAGGUUCGGCCCUGCGUUGAGGGUUUUCCCAAAGGGGAGGGCCCGGCGGGCGGUGCCUCACAGCCCUCCGCCUGUGGGAGUGGCCCUUUCUACUAAGGAAGCAAGUUCUGCAUGUCCUGGUGACCCUCCACCUGUUUCAUAGGUCGUUGGACUGUGGCAGGAAGCCGGAGUACAAGGAGAGAACCCACGCAAAACCGGGGAGAACAUGCCAACUCCACACAGAACGAUGGUAGAGCUGAACUCAGGA